GGUCACAGCCAUGUGACCCUGCACCCCAAUACCGGUUACUCACUGAAGCCAAGCAGGGCUGAGCCUGGACCGUAUCUGGAUGAGAGACCACAUGGGAAAACUAGGUUGCUGUUGCAA
ensembl:rRNA 5S_rRNA 5S ribosomal RNA